rnacentral:rRNA from 1 species
AUGGAGACUGCAAGGCUAGAAUCUGGCAGAGGGGGGUAGAAUUCCACGUGUAGCAGUGAAAUGCGUAGAGAUGGGGAGGAACACCGAUGGCGAAGGCAGCCCCCUGGGUCAAGAUUGACGCUCAUGCACGAAAGCGUGGGGAGCAAACAGGAUUAGAUACCCUGGUAGUCCACGCCCUAAACGAUGUCUACUAGUUGUCGGGUUUUAAUUAACUUGGUAACGCAGCUAACGCGUGAAGUAGACCGCCUGGGGAGUACGGUCGCAAGAUUAAAACUCAAAGGAAUUGACGGGGACCCGCACAAGCGGUGGAUGAUGUGGAUUAA